UACGUAGGGGGCAAGCGUUGUCCGGAUUUAUUGGGCGUAAAGAGCGUGUAGGCGGUUAUACAGGUCCGCUGUGAAAACUGGAGGCUUAACCUCCAGACGUCGGUGGAAACCGUAUGACUAGAGUCCGGAAGAGGAGAGUGGAAUUCCUGGUGUAGCGGUGAAAUGCGCAGAUAUCAGGAAGAACACCCGUGGCGAAGGCAGCUCUCUGGGACGGUACUGACGCUGAGACGCGAAAGCGUGGGGAGCGAACAGG
rnacentral:rRNA from 1 species